rnacentral:tRNA from 1 species
GCCCUUGUAGCUCAACUGGUAGAGCAUCUGAUUUGUAAUCAGGGGGUUGCGGGUUCAAGUCCUGCCGGGGGCACCA